CAUUUGGAACAGUUGUGACUGACCAGCCACACGUUGGUGGUAAUAUUUCCGAACCCAGGGAUUCUCGCCAAUUAGACGUUUGAGGCUUAGAAGCCCUGAAGCAAAAAUCAGCCGCCCGCCUGUCUCCGGCCACAUCGCCAAAGCUUCCUGCUUCAAGUUGCUUCAUUUCCCAAGAAAAUGAUUCUCACCCGCUGGUCCUGUCUCCAGAUUACGUCCUCAGGAUCCUCAGUGACACGUGCUUGGAAGCAGUAAUAAACUGCCAGGAGCAUCCGACUGCUCUCGGGUUUAAGCAUCUGAACAGAGAAAACGUACAAGCCCUGCUAAGCGAUGCCUUCCAUUUCACUUCAUGAAACAGAUGAGCCCAGUAUGUCAAGUUCAGAAAGUCACCACGACGGCCAUGGGGAAGCUGGGACGUCCAGGAAUAAAGGCGAGCGUGCACUGGCUUCGGGCUAUUUCCUUAUGUCAUGGUCAUGAGUGACGACAGGGAUGUUCCAUUAAAGUUACUCUUGUUGCUCUUAA